rnacentral:rRNA from 1 species
UACGGGGGGAGCAAGCGUUGUUCGGAUUUACUGGGCGUAAAGGGCGCGUAGGCGGUCGUGACAAGUCACUUGUGAAAUCUCCGGGCUUAACUCGGAACGGUCAAGUGAUACUGUCGGACUAGAGUACAGAAGGGGCAACUGGAAUUCUCGGUGUAGCGGUGAAAUGCGUAGAUAUCGAGAGGAACACCUGCGGCGAAGGCGGGUUACUGGGCUGAUACUGAUGCUGAGGCGCGAAAGCCAGGGGAGCGAACGGG